rnacentral:tRNA from 3 species
GCGCCUGUAGCCCAAAUGGGAGAGGCACCGGUCUUAGGUGCCGGUCAGUGUGGGUUCGAAUCCUUCCAGGCGCACAA